rnacentral:rRNA from 1 species
GUGGGGAAUUUUGGACAAUGGGCGAAAGCCUGAUCCAGCCAUGCCGCGUGCAGGAUGAAGGCCUUCGGGUUGUAAACUGCUUUUGUACGGAACGAAAAGACUCCUUCUAAUAAAGGGGGUCCAUGACGGUACCGUAAGAAUAAGCACCGGCUAACUACGUGCCAGCAGCCGCGGUAAUACGUAGGGUGCAAGCGUUAAUCGGAAUUACUGGGCGUAAAGCGUGCGCAGGCGGUUAUAUAAGACAGAUGUGAAAUCCCCGGGCUCAACCUGGGAACUGCAGUUGUGACUGUAUAGCUAGAGUACGGUAGAGGGGGAUGGAAUUCCGCGUGUAGCAGUGAAAUGCGUAGAUAUGCGGAGGAACACCGAUGGCGAAGGCAAUCCCCUGGACCUGUACUGACGCUCAUGCACGAAAGCGUGGGGAGCAAACAGGAUUAGAAACCCGGGUAGUCC